GAUGAACGCUGGCGGCGUGCUUAACACAUGCAAGUCGAACGAAGCACUUUUGAUUCUUCGGAAGAGGAAGUGACUGAGUGGCGGACGGGUGAGUAACGCGUGGGUAACUUGCCUUAUACAGGGGGAUAACAGUUAGAAAUGACUGCUAAUACCGCAUAAGCCGAUAGAGUCGCAUGACUUAGUCGGAAAAGAUUUAUCGGUAUAAGAUGGACCCGCGUCUGAUUAGCUAGUUGGUGAGGUAAUGGCCCACCAAGGCGACGAUCAGUAGCCGGCUUGAGAGAGUGAACGGCCACAUUGGGACUGAGACACGGCCCAAACUCCUACGGGAGGCAGCAGUGGGGAAUAUUGCACAAUGGGGGAAACCCUGAUGCAGCAACGCCGCGUGAAGGAAGAAGUAUUUCGGUAUGUAAACUUCUAUCAGCAGGGAAGAAAAUGACGGUACCUGACUAAGAAGCCCCGGCUAACUACGUGCCAGCCGCCGCGGUAA
rnacentral:rRNA from 1 species